AACCUGGUUGAUCCUGCCAGUAGUCAUAUGCUUGUCUCAAAGACUAAGCCAUGCAUGUCUAAGUAUAAAUGUUAUACAGUGAAACUGCGAAUGGCUCAUUAAAACAGUUAUAGUUUAUUUGAUAAUCGAACUUACAUGGAUAACCGUGGUAAUUCUAGAGCUAAUACAUGCUGGUUAGCCUGACUUCUAGGAAGGGCUGUAUUUAUUAGAUAACAAACCAAUAUUCCUCGUGUCUAUUGUGAUGACUCAUAAUAACUGAUCGAAUCGCAUGGGCCUUGCCCGCGAUGCAUCAUUCAAGUUUCUGCCCCAUCAGCUUUCGAUGGUAGUGUAUUGGACUACCAUGGCUUUAACGGGUAACGGAGGAUUAGGGUUCGAUUCCGGAGAGGGAGCCUGAGAAACGGCUACCACAUCUAAGGAAGGCAGCAGGCGCGUAAAUUACCCAAUCCUGACUCAGGGAGGUAGUGACAAGAAAUAACGGACCGAGGCUUUUGCUUCGGGAUUGCAAUGAGUAGAAUUUAAACCCCUUUACGAGGAUCAAUUGGAGGGCAAGUCUGGUGCCAGCAGCCGCGGUAAUUCCAGCUCCAAUAGCGUAUAUUAAAGUUGUUGCAGUUAAAAAGCUCGUAGUUGGAUUUCUGGGAGGGCGCCAAUGUCCGCUCGUUCGCGUGUGCAGCGGCGCCCUUCCAUCCUUCUGUUAACGUUUCUUGGUAUUCAGUUACUGGUUUCGGGCUCAGAUAUUUUACCUUGAGAAAAUUAGAGUGUUCCAGGCAGGCUUGCGCCGGAAUACAUUAGCAUGGAAUAAUAGAAUAGGACUUUAGUCUCCCUUUGUUGGUUUGAGGGACUGAAGUAAUGAUUAAUAGGGAUAGUUGGGGGCAUUAGUAUUUAAUUGUCAGA
rnacentral:rRNA from 1 species